rnacentral:rRNA from 1 species
CCUACGGGAGGCAGCAGUUGGGAAUCUUGGACAAUGGGGGAAACCCUGAUCCAGCCAUGCCGCGUGAGUGAUGAAGGCCUUCGGGUUGUAAAACUCUUUCGACGGGGACGCGGUACCCGUAGAAGAAGCUCCGGCUAACUUCGUGCCAGCAGCCGCGGUAAUACGAAGGGGGCUAGCGUUGUUCGGAAUUACUGGGCGUAAAGCGCGCGCAGGCGGUUUUCCAAGUCAGUGGUGAAAGCCCGGAGCUCAACUCCGGAACUGCCAUUGAAACUGUUAAACUUGAGGACGAGAGAGGUGAGUGGAAUUCCCAGUGUAGAGGUGAAAUUCGUAGAUAUUGGGAAGAACACCAGUGGCGAAGGCGGCUCACUGGCUGUUCUGACGCUCAGGCGCGAUAGCGUGGGGAUCAAACAGGAUUAGAUACCCUUGUAGUC